AAAUUGAAGAGUUUGAUCAUGGCUCAGAUUGAACGCUGGCGGCAGGCCUAACACAUGCAAGUCGAACGGUAACAGGAAGCAGCUUGCUGCUUCGCUGACGAGUGGCGGACGGGUGAGUAAUGUCUGGGAAACUGCCCGAUGGAGGGGGAUAACUACUGGAAACGGUAGCUAAUACCGCAUAACGUCGCAAGACCAAAGAGGGGGACCUUCGGGCCUCUUGCCAUCGGAUGUGCCCAGAUGGGAUUAGCUAGUAGGUGGGGUAACGGCUCACCUAGGCGACGAUCCCUAGCUGGUCUGAGAGGAUGACCAGCCACACUGGAACUGAGACACGGUCCAGACUCCUACGGGAGGCAGCAGUGGGGAAUAUUGCACAAUGGGCGCAAGCCUGAUGCAGCCAUGCCGCGUGUAUGAAGAAGGCCUUCGGGUUGUAAAGUACUUUCAGCGGGGAGGAAGGCGUUGAGGUUAAUAACCUCAGCGAUUGACGUUACCCGCAGAAGAAGCACCGGCUAACUCCGUGCCAGCAGCCGCGGUAAUACGGAGGGUGCAAGCGUUAAUCGGAAUUACUGGGCGUAAAGCGCACGCAGGCGGUCUGUCAAGUCGGAUGUGAAAUCCCCGGGCUCAACCUGGGAACUGCAUUCGAAACUGGCAGGCUAGAGUCUUGUAGAGGGGGGUAGAAUUCCAGGUGUAGCGGUGAAAUGCGUAGAGAUCUGGAGGAAUACCGGUGGCGAAGGCGGCCCCCUGGACAAAGACUGACGCUCAGGUGCGAAAGCGUGGGGAGCAAACAGGAUUAGAUACCCUGGUAGUCCACGCCGUAAACGAUGUCGACUUGGAGGUUGUGCCCUUGAGGCGUGGCUUCCGGAGCUAACGCGUUAAGUCGACCGCCUGGGGAGUACGGCCGCAAGGUUAAAACUCAAAUGAAUUGACGGGGGCCCGCACAAGCGGUGGAGCAUGUGGUUUAAUUCGAUGCAACGCGAAGAACCUUACCUACUCUUGACAUCCAGAGAACUUUCCAGAGAUGGAUUGGUGCCUUCGGGAACUCUGAGACAGGUGCUGCAUGGCUGUCGUCAGCUCGUGUUGUGAAAUGUUGGGUUAAGUCCCGCAACGAGCGCAACCCUUAUCCUUUGUUGCCAGCGGUCCGGCCGGGAACUCAAAGGAGACUGCCAGUGAUAAACUGGAGGAAGGUGGGGAUGACGUCAAGUCAUCAUGGCCCUUACGAGUAGGGCUACACACGUGCUACAAUGGCGCAUACAAAGAGAAGCGACCUCGCGAGAGCAAGCGGACCUCAUAAAGUGCGUCGUAGUCCGGAUUGGAGUCUGCAACUCGACUCCAUGAAGUCGGAAUCGCUAGUAAUCGUAGAUCAGAAUGCUACGGUGAAUACGUUCCCGGGCCUUGUACACACCGCCCGUCACACCAUGGGAGUGGGUUGCAAAAGAAGUAGGUAGCUUAACCUUCGGGAGGGCGCUUACCACUUUGUGAUUCAUGACUGGGGUGAAGUCGUAACAAGGUAACCGUAGGGGAACCUGCGGUUGGAUCACCUCCUUACCUUAAAGAA
rnacentral:rRNA from 1 species